CUACGGGGUGCAGCAGUAGGGAAUCUUAGACAAUGGGGGAAACCCUGAUCUAGCCAUGCCGCGUGAGUGAUGAAGGCCUUAGGGUUGUAAAGCUCUUUCGCUGGGGAAGAUAAUGACGGUACCCAGUAAAGAAACCCCGGCUAACUCCGUGCCAGCAGCCGCGGUAAUACGGAGGGGGUUAGCGUUGUUCGGAAUUACUGGGCGUAAAGCGCGCGUAGGCGGGCUAUUAAGUCAGGGGUGAAAUCCCGGGGCUCAACCCCGGAACUGCCUUUGAUACUGGUAGUCUUGAGUGCGAGAGAGGUGAGUGGAAUUCCGAGUGUAGAGGUGAAAUUCGUAGAUAUUCGGAGGAACAUCAGUGGCGAAGGCGACUCACUGGCUCGAUACUGACGCUGAGGUGCGAAAGUGUGGGGAGCAAACAGGAUUAGAUACCCGCGUAGUC
rnacentral:rRNA from 1 species